rnacentral:rRNA from 1 species
UACGGAGGAGGCAAGCGUUAUCCGGAAUUACUGGGCGUAAAGGGCGAGUAGGUGGCCAUCUAAGUCAGACGUGAAAUCCCCCGGCUUAACCUGGGAACUGCGUCUGAUACUGGACGGCUUGAGUAUGGGAGAGGAACGUAGAAUUCCAGGUGUAGCGGUGAAAUGCGUAGAUAUCUGGAGGAAUACCGGUGGCGAAGGCGGCGUUCUGGACCAUUACUGACACUGAAUCGCGAAAGCUAGGGGAGCAAACGGG